CUACGGGUGGCUGCAGUGGGGAAUCUUAGACAAUGGGCGCAAGCCUGAUCUAGCCAUGCCGCGUGAGUGAUGAAGGCCUUAGGGUCGUAAAGCUCUUUCGCUGGGGAAGAUAAUGACGGUACCCAGUAAAGAAACCCCGGCUGACUCCGUGCCAGCAGCCGCGGUAAUACGGAGGGGGUUAGCGUUGUUCGGAAUUACUGGGCGUAAAGCGCGCGUAGGCGGACUGUUAAGUCGGGGGUGAAAUCCCGGGGCUCAACCCCGGAACGGCCUUCGAUACUGGCAGUCUGGAGUUCGAGAGAGGUGAGUGGAGUUCCGAGUGUAGAGGUGAAAUUCGUAGAUAUUCGGGGGAACACCAGUGGCGAGGGCGGCUCACUGGCUCGAUACUGACGCUGAGGUGCGAAAGUGUGGGGAGCAAGCAGGAUUAGAUACCCUUGUAGUC
rnacentral:rRNA from 1 species